UAGAAAUAGAGAGGAGCGAUGCGGACACGGAGAGUAACAAAGAAAGAGAGAGGUGAUGAAAUCAAAAACCUUCAAAAAAUGUUUUUGCAAACCCAAAACAUCGUUUACCGCAAAACAUAACCCAGUUCUCUUCUAAACCUAGACAUACACCAAGAUAGAAACAGAGAGAGGCGAUGAGUACACGGAGAAAGAAGCAAAGAAAGAGAGGCGAUGAAAUCAAAAAGUUUCAAGAAACGAUUUUGCAGACCCAAAACCUUGGUAGAACGGUAAACAGAGAAGGCACGGAGUGGGGACUAGGGAGAGAGGCGAUGAAUAUAUGGAGAAAGAAACAGAAAAAGAGAGAGGCGAUGAAGACACGGAGAACGAAAGAGAAAAAGAGAGAGGCGAUCCUGGGACACGGAGAAAGAAGAGAAUGCCUCUCUGUUUCUCUCACUAAGAUCAGAGUAAAAGUCCCCUCUGCCCACAAACAACGCCUCCGAUGGGUUCUAUUCUUUCACUGAUUUUUUUUAGAGAUGAAGUGGAAUCUUUCCACAAUCCAGAGUCUCUAAUUUCAUCAAAUCAAGGUAUAGAGAGUUGAAUGUAAGAAAAUUCCCAACAAAUCACUUUAUAAUUUAUGCCCACCACUGUAAUAUGCACCAAGUUCAGAUUUUUAUGUCAAUCUUCUUGCACUGCGAAAGCUUGACAUGAUGCUCAAAUGCAAGUUAAGUUUUAUUUUCUUAAAGAGAAAUUCAUUUUUUUAGAUAAACGCUAUUUUCCCUUAGAUGUGGAAAAUAUUGCCUAUAGUGGUUUAUUUAGAAGCUUUCUUUGAGCAAUUUUUCAAAAUUUAUGAAGGAUCAUAAUAACGUUUAAUUGUGGUCCUCCACUAAAUAUGCAUGUAGUUCUAGGGUGCAAUUUCUUCACUUUAUAUGUUGUUUAAAUAGAUAAUAUUUUUGAAAGUUAUCCCAUGUCUUUUUUUUUCCCAGUUAAAUAACAAUUUCAUUUCAAUAGAAACAAGAAAUUAGAUAUUGAUUUUGCAUAAAUAUUGAUGUUUAUAUUUGGUUAUAAUAAAAAGCAAUUUUUUCUUCUAGAAUAGAUGGUUGUUAAAGGAGGCUUACAGGCAAAUAACUCAUUGUAAAUAUGCACCAAGUUCAGAUUUUUAUGUCAAUCUUCUUGCACUGUCAAAAGCUUGACAUGAUGCUCAAAAGAAAUAUUAAAUGUUUUUAAAGAUAUUGCAUUAGGAGCAUUAUGGAGAAUUCCCUUUGUUUGGACUCAUUUCAUGUGUUCCUCCAAGUGGCCCCUUUGAGAAGGGUAUGACACACAUGAUGUGAUUCAAAGAUACUAAUGUUUUAACAUUUUUUUGGGAAUAUUGGAUACUAUAUGUCUAAAUAUACUACAUUAUUUAAGUUUGAAUGUUUGCAGUGGAAAUGGGAGAACUAAGUUUAUGUUGAAUGCAAAGUAUUUUAAAUCGUAAAAUGAUCCCGCGCAUUGCGCGGGUUAAACGCUA